rnacentral:rRNA from 1 species
UAAUACGGAGGGUGCAAGCGUUAAUCGGAAUUACUGGGCGUAAAGCGCACGCAGGCGGUUUGUUAAGUCAGAUGUGAAAUCCCCGAGCUUAACUUGGGAACUGCAUUUGAAACUGGCAAGCUAGAGUCUUGUAGAGGGGGGUAGAAUUCCAGGUGUAGCGGUGAAAUGCGUAGAGAUCUGGAGGAAUACCGGUGGCGAAGGCGGCCCCCUGGACAAAGACUGACGCUCAGGUGCGAAAGCGUGGGGAGCAAACAGGAUUAGAUACCAUGGUAGUCCACGCUGUAAACGAUGUCGACUUGGAGGUUGUGCCCUUGAGGCGUGGCUUCCGGAGCUAACGCGUUAAGUCGACCGCCUGGGGAGUACGGCCGCAAGGUUAAA